GCCGAAGUGGCGGAAUGGUAGACGCGCUGGUCUCAAAAACCAGUGGGGGAAACCCCGUGCCGGUUCAACUCCGGCCUUCGGCA
rnacentral:tRNA from 1 species